rnacentral:rRNA from 1 species
UACGUAGGGUGCAAGCGUUGCCCGGAAUUAUUGGGCGUAAAGAGCUCGUAGGCGGUUUGUUGCGUCGGCUGUGAAAUCCCGAGGCUCAACCUCGGGUCUGCAGUCGAUACGAGCAAACUAGAGUGUUGCAGGGGAGACUGGAAUUCCUGGUGUAGCGGUGAAAUGCGCAGAUAUCAGGAGGAACACCGGUGGCGAAGGCGGGUCUCUGGGCAACAACUGACGCUGAGGAGCGAAAGCGUGGGGAGCGAACAGG